GGCCGACUGGCGAAAUGGCAUCGCGUCUGACUACGACCCAGUUGCUAUCAGGAGAUUGCAGGUUCGACCCCUGCGUCGGUCA
rnacentral:tRNA from 1 species